rnacentral:rRNA from 1 species
GGAGGAAAGUAGGGGAUCGCAAGACCUUGCGCUUUUUGAGCGGCCGAUGCCUGAUUAGCUAGUUGGUAAGGUAAUGGCUUACCAAGGCAACGAUCAGUAGCUGGUCUGAGAGGACGACCAGCCACACUGGGACUGAGACACGGCCCAGACUCCUACGGGAGGCAGCAGUGGGGAAUUUUGGACAAUGGGCGAAAGCCUGAUCCAGCCAUGCCGCGUGAGUGAAGAAGGCCUUCGGGUUGUAAAGCUCUUUCGGUCGGGAAGAAAUAGUUGUGGCUAAUAUCCACAAUGAAUGACGGUACCGACAUAAGAAGCACCGGCUAACUACGUGCCAGCAGCCGCGGUAAUACGUAGGGUGCAAGCGUUAAUCGGAAUUAUUGGGCGUAAAGGGUGCGCAGGCGGUUGUAUAAGUCAGAUGUGAAAUCCCUGGGCUUAGCCUAGGAAUUGCGUUUGAAACUACAAAGCUAG